UCCCUGGUGGCUCAAAUGGUAAAGAAUCUGCCUUUAACGCAGGAUACCAGGGUUCAAUCCCUAGAUUGGGAA
rnacentral:tRNA from 1 species